CUUCUGGUCUUCAAACAGGAAGUUGUGUGCAUGUUUACGACGUUAUUUUCUUCUCAGCGACUUGCUUUUUUCAUCCCCAAAAGGCAUCUUUCCACCUUCGGUUUGCAAAAUGAAACAAAACUCAAAUGUUCCAGCUUUCCUCACCAAGCUUUGGACUCUUGUGGAGGAUUCCGAUACGAAUGAAUUUAUUUGUUGGAGUCAGGAGGGGAACAGUUUCCUCGUCAUGAACGAACAGCGAUUUGCCAAGGAGAUCCUUCCCAAGUUCUUCAAACACAACAACAUGGCUAGCUUUGUCAGACAGCUAAAUAUGUAUGGAUUUCGCAAAGUGAUGCACAUUGACACAGGCAUCGUGAAGCAAGAGCGUGAUGGACCAGUUGAAUUCCAGCAUCCUUACUUUAAACAUGGGCAGGAUGACUUGCUGGAAAACAUCAAAAGAAAGGUUUCUAAUGCAAGACCAGAGGAUACUAAAAUCAAACAGGAAGACCUGUCCAAUAUUUUGGCCAGUGUUCAGAAUGUUCAUGGAAAACAAGAAAGCAUUGAUUCCCGACUCAACACAUUGAAAAGAGAUAAUGAAGGUCUAUGGAGGGAAAUAUCAGACCUGAGACAGAAGCACUCCCAACAGCAGCAAAUCAUUAAGAAGUUGAUACAAUUCAUUGUCACAUUCGUACAGAAGAACCGGAUUAUGGGUUUAAAACGCAAACGACCUAUUCUACUGAACAACAAUGGAAAGAAGCCUAAAUACAUCCAUGAAAUCUACGAUGAACCUCCUCUGGAGCACAACAAAGUAUGUGUAGAGGUCUGAAGGGUACCUCCUUAUGUAAGGUAUACACGGGGAUGUCCAUCCAUUGACAUCACACUAAUGAUACUAGCAAAUACACUAGAUAUUUUUUUCUUGACAAGAUCAUUGCCCAGGAAAAUUGCUUCAAUUGUGAGUCAAUGAAACUUGACAUUGCCAGGGGGGGAAUUUUUCCAAUAUGAGUUUUUAAUGUUAUUUCAAUGAAAAGCAUUCUAAAAAUGUAUAUUCUGAGCCCUCUCCCAGCCCUCUGUCAGUGGUUUGAAGAAUGCUGAUCUUACUGAUGAUGUUGUCAUCUGUGACGUAACUGACGACGAUGCAGAGAUCACAGAGGGCCCCUCAAUAAUGGAUCAAUCGGGGGAUGUAGAAAUUGUUGAGGUCUUCGACAGCAAUACUGCGUCACCGACAGAUGGCGCUGACAAUCCAGGCCAGACCAACUCUUUGGUAUUUGAACCAGAAGAGACCACCAUAAGCACAUAUGAUAGCCUUCCAACCAGCAGCGUCUUGCAACUCAACAAACCAUCAGGCCUGAGCCUGGAGGAUCCCAUGAAGAUGAUGGACUCAAUCCUCAAUGAGAGUGGAGCUAUUUCUCAGAAUAUCAACCUCCUCGGCAAGGUUGAGCUGAUGGACUACUUGGACAGCAUUGACUGCAGUUUGGAAGACUUUCAGGCUAUGUUGUACGGGAAGCAGUUCAGCAUUGAUCCAGAUAUUUUAGAGUUCAGUUCAAAUUGCCCUGUGAACUUGCAAGAUUUCAGCAUCUGCACAGCUUAAGAGAGUGGUGGUUCCAAAGGAAAUGCAGGGCUGCUAUCCAAAGGAGGCAAGUCUGGCAUCUCUGCAGACAAGCAGCUGGUCCAGUACACGUCCUGCCCUCUGCUGGCCUUCCUGGAUGGCUGCACCCCUUUGGCCCCAGAGCCAGACAGCAGCAUAGCCACAGAGCUGGGAGACAGCCUGCUGCAGCCCAGCACUGAGGUACCCACAGACCUCCUGGAGCCAGAUGAGGAGCCUCCACGGAGCUCCCUGAUCCGCCUAGAGCCCCUGACUGAGGCAGAGGCCACGCUUUUCUACCUGUGUGAACUCAACCCAGAAGGGAGCGCCACUGACUCGACACAGCUGGAUAUUUAACCAAGGAGCAGAAAAAAAACUCAUUUACUGUAUUUCCUUGUAUCUUUUGGUACAUUUAGGUCAGAAGUAAGACAUUCCAUAAUGUAGCUGUUGAUAUGGUUUCUCCACUAGCAGUUGAAGGUAAACCCUGAUUAAAGAAAAGGCUGCAAUUUUGUUUCACUGUAUUAUUGAUUACUGUAUUGAUAGGUCAAUGAUCACAUCAAUCUUUAAAUGAAAAAAAAAGUGCCUGCGCAUUUCCUUGUCCUAGAACUACAGUGCUCAGCAUUUCAAAUACUGCGGUCUGGUGUGUAUCAUAAGGUGUCGUGUUAUAAGACUGUGAUUUUGCGAGAUUCACUGUUAAGCUUCACAAUGACAUUCAAAUAAAGUGUAUUUUCAUUCUGAA